UUCUCCUAAUUUUUCUUUCCCCGAUCUCCUCUCCCAAGCCUCUCGCGCAACCUCUUCUUCCCCGACGCCAACGUCGCAAGGGAGAUGAUCGUGCCGGCGCCGGUUGACCCUCCAUUAGCAGGUAGAUGGAGCUCGAUCGCCGGAAGGAAAGGGCCAACGCUUGCCCUCACGCGUGGUGCCCUAGAUCCUGUUUCUGCCACCUGAUUUCCUUGUCGUCGUCGCCCUUCUUGCGCCGCCGAUCACCACGAGUUCACUGCUGGCGACGGUCUUCUCCAGUGUGUCUCGGCCGAGCCUCCCUCUUCCUUCUCUCAAGGUGUGGAGCCUCUCCUUCUUCUUGCCGAUCUUGUCACCGUGCCCUAGAUUGCUGACACCGAGUCUUUCUCGCCGAGCCUCCCGACCACACCACUCCACACGAUGUAGCCGGAUCACGCGCGCGAGCUCUCUUCGUCCCGAGACUCACCAGCGACUCAACUCCUUCCCUUCCAACCAACCGCCGCCGUCCCUUUCCUGUACCUGAUCGCCGACCUCUCUGCUUCUAAUCACCAACCUAGCUUCAAGAUUGAUGUUGGGUUUGAUCCUUGGUCUGUUGUGAAGUGUCCGGCCAAGCUGCAUUGAUCCGGCAAUGUGACCGAAAGAUGGUUUGCUGUGGCGGUUCUUGUGGGGUGGAGGGUUGCUGCUAGGGUCCGGUGAGGCCAUCAACUCCGGCAGUAAUCUUCUCCAGCAGUAAAACACCAGUUGGGGCAUCUGGAUUGAGCUAAGGUUUUGUUGAGUGUAGUGCUUCUUUGAUAGUUGACGGCAUAGAACUUCUUGGGUUGUAAGAUUCAGAAUUUUGCUGUCAUACCUCAAGGUGAGUGUUUUCUGGUGAUGUAUCUCUAGAUCCUUCUAUUAUUAUUCUGUUCUAUCAGUGUUGUUAAUGGAUAUUAGAUCAUGUUUAGUUUAGAGCACAUGGGAGCAUGUAGAGGGAUUCGUUGUAGUUGGAUGCUCUUGUGUUGGAUUAAUUGAUGACUGGUAGGUUAUGUAUUGGAUUAGAUUAAGCAUUCUACAUGGAUUGUUGAUGAUAGAUUGUUGAUGAUGGUAUUGGGUUAACAUAGAUUGUUGAUGAUAGAUUGUUGUAAUCUGUGUAGAUUAGUUGAAAUGGAUGAAUUGUGUGAAGUUGAUUCAUGGUUAAGGAAUUAGAAUUCAACUUUGAUAUAUUGAUUUGGAUUGAAUCUUGGAUUGAUUU